GUGGGUGCCCGUGGGGUGCAGAACCCUAUUGGGCUAAGUCCUACACAUCUUUCGAAUUCUGGUUCUAUAUCCACCUUCUCCGAGGCUGCUUUCUAGAUGGCACCAGUUUUGAGUGAUACGGGUCCCAGGUUUUGCAGGAUGAUCCUACCCUGGAAUGUUUCUGAAGAUUUUCCAUAUAUUUCGGUUGGUGUUAAGGGUUCAGGGGAGGCAAGCCACAGAGGUGAAGUGCUUUUCUCCUCGCAUCUUAUCAAGGGUGAUAUCUCAUCUUCACAAUAAGGGAGCACAGAUCCAAAUUUGUUGCAGAGAAAGGGAGGAUCCUCAAGUAAUGAGUCUGGUCCAUGCUGCAUAGGAUAAGUUCUGCAACCCCAGGCAAAGACCUCACUCUGAUGUACAUUUGGCUUCUACUUAAAAGUUCAGAAGCAAAGUAUCACGGAAAAGCCCUGCUCAUAUGCUACCUUCCUUAUUCAGAACAGGAA